GACGAACGCUGGCGGCGUGCCUAAUACAUGCAAGUUGAGCGCUGAAGGUUGGUACUUGUACCAACUGGAUGAGCAGCGAACGGGUGAGUAACGCGUGGGGAAUCUGCCUUUGAGCGGGGGACAACAUUUGGAAACGAAUGCUAAUACCGCAUAAAAACUUUAAACACAAGUUUUAAGUUUGAAAGAUGCAAUUGCAUCACUCAAAGAUGAUCCCGCGUUGUAUUAGCUAGUUGGUGAGGUAAAGGCUCACCAAGGCGAUGAUACAUAGCCGACCUGAGAGGGUGAUCGGCCACAUUGGGACUGAGACACGGCCCAAACUCCUACGGGAGGCAGCAGUAGGGAAUCUUCGGCAAUGGACGAAAGUCUGACCGCGCAACGCCGCGUGAGUGAAGAAGGUUUUCGGAUCGUAAAACUCGGUUGGUAGAGAAGAACGUUGGUGAGAGUGGAAAGCUCAUCAAGUGACGGUAACUACCCAGAAAGGGACGGCUAACUACGUG
rnacentral:rRNA from 1 species